GACGAACGCUGGCGGCGUGCUUAACACAUGCAAGUCGAACGAAGUGGCGAACGGGUGAGUAACGCGUAAUCAACCUGCCCUUCAGAGGGGGACAACAGUUGGACACGACUGCUAAUACCGCAUACUGAAGGAGGGGAUUGCGUCUGCUUAGCUAUUUGGGGGGGUAACGGCCCACCAAGGCGAUGAUCCUUAGCCGGUCGGAGAGGAUGACCGGGCACAUUGGGACUGAGACACGGCCCAGACUCCUACGGGGGGCAGGAGUGGGGAAUCUUCCGCAAUGGGCGAAAGCCUGACGGAGCAACGCCGCGUGAGUGAAGAAGGUUUUCGGAUCGUAAAACUCUGUUGUUAGAGAAGCGGUAUCUAACCAGAAAGCCACGGCUAACUACGUGCCAGCAGCCGCGGUAAUAC
rnacentral:rRNA from 1 species